GCUUGCUUCAGCGAGACGUUUACUAAAACUGAAACCAAACAGAGAGGAGCAUGGCCCCGGCACAAAGAUGACACGCAAAUUCAUGACAUGUUCCACAUUUUU